rnacentral:piRNA from 1 species
UCAGAAUAAUGUGGGCAAGAUAAAUUCUC